GCUGCCUGGGCUCUGUUUGGUUCUAAUUUGGAUGCUGUCAUACUACAGGAGAAAUUUAAUGAGAAGGCAGAUUUCUCAUCGCAGCUGUGAGAAACUCUGAUGCCAGCAAUAAACCACAGGUGUCCAGGGAAGGGAGGAAUGCUAAUGCCAGCAGUAAAACUGCAGAUGUCCAACUGAAGCAAACUGAAAGACAACAUCGGAACAAAAGCGAGCAAACCGGAGCAGGAGCUGCACAACUCCCCUUCAGCCCCUCCCCUUCCUUCCACUUCUCUCUCUCAAGAGAAACAGCAGGUCCACCCUCCCUCAGGGAAGCUUGCCUCUCCUGAGUUCCCAACAACUCCUUGUAAGAAUCACUGGCUGUUAAGAUGGGUUUUUGAGGACCAGAGUCCCCCAUCUUCUCGAGAUCCCAGCACUUAAAUAAACCACUGUCCUUCUCACCAGCACCUGUCUCAUAAAUUUGGCUUUCCUUGCAACAGGCAGCCAAACCUGGGUUCUAUUUCAGCAUGACUACAGCUAAUCUUUCUAUGCCUAAUAUUACUGUUUGUGGCUGCCUUUCUUUUUCCUGUGUUUUCUCCCUUUUUUUUUAUUGGAAGUUUAUUGAUAUAUUUCUUUCCUAUACCCUCACUUUCACUUAUGAAGGGAUAACACUAUCCUGACAGAGUCCUAAGGGUGACAGAAAGUGAGGGUUAGCCAUGUAGUAUUUUAGUGUUUGGGGAGUUUGGUUUAAGAUGUCUUUUUCAAUAUGGAACAUAUUGAAGAUUAGACAAAGUGAUAUAAUAGCUAGGGUUGUCACAUAGAGAAAACUGAGGGUUUUGAAGUGAACGUUUACAAAUAAACAGCCAUUUAUCCAGGCCAGAAAUGCAUUGUUCUGAGAAUGGAGAAAAUGCUAUUAUAUGAGAGCCAGAUAUGGGCAAGGCUGGUGGGGCCCUAGCAGGGGUGAAGACUGGGACUCAAAUCAAGGGAGCAGACCAGAAGGAAGGAAAAAAUGACCAAACAGAAAAAUAUGAAGAAACAAGAAUUCAAACAAAUAAGGAGAGGCUUAGGAACCUCCAGGACAUCUUUAAACGCUCCAACAUCUGAAUUAUAGGUGUACCAGAAGGGGAAGAGGAACAGUCACGAGUGGAAACCUUAUCUGAACAAAUAAUAAACUAGAACUUCCCCAUUCUGGCAAAGGAAAUAGACUUCCAGGAAAUCCAGGAAGCUCAGAGAGCCCCAAAGAAUUUGGACCCAAGAAGGAACACACCAAGGCCCAUCAUCAUUAUAUUAGCCAAGAUUAAAAUGAAGGAGAGAAUCCUAGAUGCAGCAAGAAAUAAGGGGACUGUCACCUACAAAGGACUUCCCAUCACACUGCCAGCGGAUUUCUCAACAGAGACCUUACAGGCAAGAAGGGGCUGGAAAGAAGUAUUCCAAGUCAUGAAAACCAAAGACCUACAACCAAGAUUGCUCUAUCCAGCAAAGCUUUCAUUUAAAAUGGAAGGACAGUUAAAGUGCUUCUCAGAUAAGAUCAAAUUCAAGGAGUUCAUCAUCACCAAGCUCUUACUAUAUGAAAUGUUAAAGGGACUUACCUAAGAAAAAGAAGAUAAAAAAGAUGAACAGUGAAAGGACAGCAAACUCACAGUUGUUAACAACCACACCUAAAACAAAAGCAAAUUAAGAGGACAGCUAGAUCAUGAGCAGAACCAUAGAAAUGAAGAUCACAUGGAGGGUUAGCAACAGGGAAGUGGGAGAAGGAAAAGGGGGGAGAAAGUACAGAAAAUAAGUAGCAUAGAUGGUAGGUAGAAAAUAGAUAGGGAGGAGGGCAAGAAUAGUAUGGGAAAUAUAGAAUUUGAGAACUUGAGAC